AGAUGGGGAGUAAGAUGACGAAGGGAGGAGGAGGAGGAAGAGGUAGGAAAACGCUGCAAAAAAGAGGGUAAAGAAGGAAUUAGUAAAGGAAACGCUGGAGAAAAAAAUAAACGAAGAGGUGAUGGAAGUAAGCUGACAGGAGAAAGGAAGAAGAGAGAAAAAAACGGCAUGAUGUAAAUGUGUAAAAGUUAAAAGGUAAAAAGUUAAAAAUCGAUGAAAGAAAUUAAUGAGGGAAAUGACUGAAAAAAAAGCUAUGGGUGUAAGCUGACAAGAUAAAGGAGGAAGAGGAUGAAAACGGGCGGAGGUAAAACUGUUGUAAGUCGAGGAGAGGAACCAAAUAUAAAAGAGUUAAGGAGAUUAAAAAGAAGAGAAAGAAGCAAGAGAAUCCAUUAUACACGGAAGGAAACCAAAUCGCGGAUACAUUAAAAGGGGAAAGAAUUUGAACUAGCCGGAAGGAAAAAUGGAAAAAAAGUGAAGUUGAGUAAAUAGAAUGAAGACAAAAUUAAUGGAGAAAAAUUCAAACUAAAGAAAUAAUAUAGAAGUAAAGUUGAGUAAAUAGAAGGAAGACAAAAUAGAUGGAAAAAAAUUAAGACGAAAGAAAUAAUAUAGAAGUUGAGUAAAUAGAAUGAAGACAAAAUAGAUGGAACAAAAUGAAGACUAAAGAAAUAAUAUAGAAGUAAAUUUGAGUAAAUAGAAUGAAGACAAAAUAAAUGGAAAAACAUGAAGACUAAAGAAAUAAUAUAGAAGUAAAGUUGAGUAAAUAGAAGGAAGACAAAAUAGAUGGAACAAAAUGAAGACUAAAGAAAUAAUAUAGAAGUAGAGUAAAUAGAAUAAAGACAAACACAAAAGAAGUGAAGCAAGAGAAUCAAUCACCAAAGAAAGCCAGACCACGCAGAGAAACAUCAAAGGAGAGCGAGCAACCGAACUUUAACCAACAAGAGAAAAAAGUAAAAAAAAAAAAAAGUGAAGAGUAAAAAAAAAAAAGGACAAGCAAAACCGCGCGCGUGUGUGUUUAAAAAAGUCAGCCAAAAAAAUAAAAUAACAAGAAAAACCGAUAAAAAUUCAGGGUUGAGGAGAGUGGAGGACAAACUAAAAGGAAGAUAAAAAAAAAAAAGAGAAUCCAUUGCAGGAGGAAACAAAACCACGAACACAUCAAAGGGAAGUGACUGAGAUUAAAUGACAAGAAAAAAAGAAAAGAAAAAAAGAGAAAGGAAACCGCAGACAUGAAGGGGGGAGGAGAUGUCAUACCCUUGAAGCGAACCGUCCAGGGCAAGGAAGACAGACAGAAGGGAAGAAGAGAGGAAGGCAAGUAAAGAAAGAUAGAAUGAGAGGAAGAUGAUGAUGAGGGUGAAGAAGUAAGAGGGGGAUAAAGGGUUUGGAAAGUAAAAAUGAAAUGGAAAGAGAAAUUGUGAUGAAGGAAGAAAUAAAGAAAAAAAGAGGUAGGAGAGUAAAGAAAGAUAGGAAGAGAAGAAGAUGAUGAUGAGGGUGAAGAAGAAAGAGAAGGAUAAAGGGUUUGGAAAGUGAAAAUGAAAUGAAAAAUGGAGAAAUUGUGAUGAAGGAAGAAAUAAAAAAAAGAUAGGAGAGUAAAGAAAGAUAGGAAGAGAAGAUGGUGAUUAGGGUGAAGAAGAAAGAGAGGGAUAAAGGGUUUGGAAAGUGAAAAUGAAAUGAAAAAUGGAGAAAUUGUGAUGAAGGAAGAAAGAAAAAAAAGAUAGGAGAGUAAAGAAAGAUACGAAGAGAAGAAGAUGGUGAUUAGGGUGAAGAAGAAAGAGAGGAAGGAUAGAUAUCAAGAAAGAAGGAAAGGGUUAGGAAAGUAAAAAUGAAGACGGAGAGAAAUUGUGAUGAAGGAAGAAAGAAAAAAAGAUAGGAAAGUAAAGAAAGAUAGAAAGAGAAGAUGGUGAUGAGGGUGAAAAAGAAAGAGAGGAUGAGAGCAAGGAAGAAGGAAAGGGUUAGGAAAAUAAAACUGAAGAGACGGGAAAGGAGAAAUUAUGAUGAAGGAAGAAAGAAA